UGCGGGAUAAGGCGUUUACGCUGCAUCCGGCAUGGAUUGCCUGAUGUGACGCUGGCGCGUCUUAUCAGGUC
rfam:Trichuris trichiura, WGS project CBXK01000000 data, contig: TTRE_768